GGCAGAGUGAGUUCAGCCUAUCAUUUGAGAUCCGAGUAUGAUUGGGGAAAUAUCCUGAAAUAGUCUAUGAUUUGAAGAAAUGGAUAGAUGGCUAGAAUAACAUGCUAGAUGGUAGUCAAGUUACUAACUGCAGAAUUGAUUUGAUAAAAUUCUCAUCGUGUCUCCUGACUUAGGAGAAAUAUUGGGUCUGAUGAAUGGGUAAAAUUCCCAGGUGAAAAGAAUUUGGUCUGUAAGAUUUGGCAGCACCCUGAGGUUUGCCAUAUCUGAUGGCCUGGCUUUAGUGGCAGCACCUAGUGAAGGCCCAGGUGUCCUUCUGACAACCUUUACCACCUACCGUUUUGUCCUUACUUAUGUUGAAUCACUACACACAGGCUGUUGAAUUCAGCUGUCUGUGGAGAAAUUAUACCAACCACAUGGUUAGACAGAAGGAAUACAAUAUAUUGCUUAAUUUGUAUCUGAAAGCUAAGCAACAUGGAAAAAAAUCAAGCAUGCUCAGUCACUUCCAUGAGGACAAACGAAGACACUUCAAGAGUAGUUUCUGUUUUUCUGUCUAGAUAAUGAUUGAUACACCUCCCAUGCCCCACCUCUCACCCAGGACAGGAUCGAAGUGUUGGGGGAGCCACAACCUGCUUCACCUAGAAAGAGGACAUUGACAUGGAUCUGCCAGCUUUCUAAGACUUUCCCCAGAUUCAAGUCCAGUCACAUCAAGUUGCCUUAUUAAAGGGUCUGCCCACUCAAAAGGAGAAAGUGCAAAAGAUGCUCAGCAAGGGUAGCAAACGCAGUCAGAUGAUACUUCCUGACAGCAUCCAAGAGCAAGUCUCACCACCACAUCUGUCAAUAAAAAAGAAAACAAGGAGCUGCCAA
rnacentral:lncRNA from 1 species